rnacentral:rRNA from 1 species
GGGUUGUGAGGUUAAGCGACUAAGCGUACACGGUGGAUGCCCUGGCAGUCAGAGGCGAUGAAGGACGUGCUAAUCUGCGAAAAGCGUCGGUAAGGUGAUAUGAACCGUUAUAACCGGCGAUGUCCGAAUGGGGAAACCCAGUGUGAUUCGUCACACUAUCGUUAACUGAAUACAUAGGUUAACGAGGCGAACCGGGGGAACUGAAACAUCUAAGUACCCCGAGGAAAAGAAAUCAACCGAGAUUCCCCCAGUAGCGGCGAGCGAACGGGGAGCAGCCCAGAGUCUGAAUCAGCUUGUGUGUUAGUGGAACGGUCUGGAAAGUCCGACGGUACAGGGUGAUAGUCCCGUACACCAAAAUGCACAGGCUGUGAACUCGAAGAGUAGGGCGGGACACGUGGUAUCCUGUCUGAAUAUGGGGGACCAUCCUCCAAGGCUAAAUACUCCUGACUGACCGAUAGUGAACCAGUACCGUGAGGGAAAGGCGAAAAGAACCCCGGCGAGGGAGUGAAAAAGAACCUGAAACCGUGUACGUACAAGCAGUGGGAGCACCUUCGGGUGUGACUGCGUACCUUUUGUAUAAUGGGUCAGCGACUUAUAUUCUGUAGCAAGGUUAACCGUAUAGGGGAGCCGCAGGGAAACCGAGUCUUAACUGGGCGUUAAGUUGCAGGGUAUAGACCCGAAACCCGGUGAUCUAGCCAUGGGCAGGUUGAAGGUUGGGUAACACUAACUGGAGGACCGAACCGACUAAUGUUGAAAAAUUAGCGGAUGACUUGUGGCUGGGGGUGAAAGGCCAAUCAAACCGGGAGAUAGCUGGUUCUCCCCGAAAGCUAUUUAGGUAGCGCCUCGUGAAUUCAUCUUCGGGGUAGAGCACUGUUUCGGCUAGGGGGUCAUCCCGACUUACCAACCCGAUGCAAACUACGAAUACCGAAGAAUGUUAUCACGGGAGACACACGGCGGGUGCUAACGUCCGUCGUGAAGAGGGAAACAACCCAGACCGCCAGCUAAGGUCCCAAAGUCAUGGUUAAGUGGGAAACGAUGUGGGAAGGCACAGACAGCCAGGAUGUUGGCUUAGAAGCAGCCAUCAUUUAAAGAAAGCGUAAUAGCUCACUGGUCGAGUCGGCCUGCGCGGAAGAUGUAACGGGGCUAAACCAUGCACCGAAGCUGCGGCAGCGACACUAUGUGUUGUUGGGUAGGGGAGCGUUCUGUAAGCCUGCGAAGGUGACCUGUGAGGGUUGCUGGAGGUAUCAGAAGUGCGAAUGCUGACAUAAGUAACGAUAAAGCGGGUGAAAAGCCCGCUCGCCGGAAGACCAAGGGUUCCUGUCCAACGUUAAUCGGGGCAGGGUGAGUCGACCCCUAAGGCGAGGCCGAAAGGCGUAGUCGAUGGGAAACAGGUUAAUAUUCCUGUACUUGGUGUUACUGCGAAGGGGGGACGGAGAAGGCUAUGUUAGCCGGGCGACGGUUGUCCCGGUUUAAGCAUGUAGGCUGGUUGUCCAGGCAAAUCCGGAUAAUCAAGGCUGAGGUGUGAUGACGAGGCACUACGGUGCUGAAGUAACAAAUGCCCUGCUUCCAGGAAAAGCCUCUAAGCAUCAGGUAACAUUAAAUCGUACCCCAAACCGACACAGGUGGUCAGGUAGAGAAUACCAAGGCGCUUGAGAGAACUCGGGUGAAGGAACUAGGCAAAAUGGUGCCGUAACUUCGGGAGAAGGCACGCUGGUGUGUAGGUGAAGUCCCUGCGGAUGGAGCUGAGACCAGUCGAAGAUACCAGCUGGCUGCAACUGUUUAUUAAAAACACAGCACUGUGCAAACACGAAAGUGGACGUAUACGGUGUGACGCCUGCCCGGUGCCGGAAGGUUAAUUGAUGGGGUUAUCCGUAAGGAGAAGCUCUUGAUCGAAGCCCCGGUAAACGGCGGCCGUAACUAUAACGGUCCUAAGGUAGCGAAAUUCCUUGUCGGGUAAGUUCCGACCUGCACGAAUGGCGUAAUGAUGGCCAGGCUGUCUCCACCCGAGACUCAGUGAAAUUGAACUCGCUGUGAAGAUGCAGUGUACCCGCGGCAAGACGGAAAGACCCCGUGAACCUUUACUAUAGCUUGACACUGAACAUUGAGCCUUGAUGUGUAGGAUAGGUGGGAGGCUUUGAAGCGUGGACGCCAGUCUGCGUGGAGCCAACCUUGAAAUACCACCCUUUAAUGUUUGAUGUUCUAACGUUGGCCCCUGACCGGGGUUGCGGACAGUGUCUGGUGGGUAGUUUGACUGGGGCGGUCUCCUCCCAAAGCGUAACGGAGGAGCACGAAGGUUAGCUAAUCCUGGUCGGACAUCAGGAGGUUAGUGCAAUGGCAUAAGCUAGCUUGACUGCGAGCGUGACGGCGCGAGCAGGUGCGAAAGCAGGUCAUAGUGAUCCGGUGGUUCUGAAUGGAAGGGCCAUCGCUCAACGGAUAAAAGGUACUCCGGGGAUAACAGGCUGAUACCGCCCAAGAGUUCAUAUCGACGGCGGUGUUUGGCACCUCGAUGUCGGCUCAUCACAUCCUGGGGCUGAAGUAGGUCCCAAGGGUAUGGCUGUUCGCCAUUUAAAGUGGUACGCGAGCUGGGUUUAGAACGUCGUGAGACAGUUCGGUCCCUAUCUGCCGUGGGCGCUGGAGAAUUGAGGGGGGCUGCUCCUAGUACGAGAGGACCGGAGUGGACGCAUCACUGGUGUUCGGGUUGUCAUGCCAAUGGCACUGCCCGGUAGCUAAAUGCGGAAGAGAUAAGUGCUGAAAGCAUCUAAGCACGAAACUUGCCCCGAGAUGAGUUCUCCCUGAGACUUUAAGUCUCCUGAAGGAACGUUGAAGACGACGACGUUGAUAGGCCGGGUGUGUAAGCGCAGCGAUGCGUUGAGCUAACCGGUACUAAUGAACCGUGAGGCUUAACCUUACAACGCCGAAG